rnacentral:rRNA from 1 species
UACGUAGGGUGCAGGCGUUAAUCGGAAUUACUGGGCGUAAAGCGUGCGCAGGCGGUUUGCUAAGAGAGAUGUGAAAUCCCCCGGGCUUAACCUGGGAACUGCGUUUCUAACUGGCAGGCUUGAGUGUGGCAGAGGGGGGUGGAAUUCCACGUGUAGCAGUGAAAUGCGUAGAGAUGUGGAGGAACACCGAUGGCGAAGGCAGCCCCCU